GACGAACGCUGGCGGCGUGCUUAACACAUGCAAGUCGAACGGAAAGGCCCUGCUUUUGUGGGGUGCUCGAGUGGCGAACGGGUGAGUAACACGUGAGUAACCUGCCCUUGACUAUGGGAUAACUUCAGGAAACUGGGGCUAAUACCGGAUAGGAGCUCCUGCUGCAUGGUGGGGGUUGGAAAGUUUCGGCGGUUGGGGAUGGACUCGCCGCUUAUCAGCUUGUUGGUGGGGUAGUGGCUUACCAAGGCUUCUACGGGUAGCCGGCCUGAGAGGGUGACCGGCCACAUGGGGACUGAGAUACGGCCCAGACUCCUACGGGAGGCAGCAGUGGGGAAUAUUGCACAAUGGGCGGAAGCCUGAUGCAGCAACGCCGCGUGCGGGAUGACGGCCUUCGGGUUGUAAACCGCGUUCGCCUGUGACGAAGCGUGAGUGACGGUAAUGGGUAAAGAAGCACCGGCUAACUACGUG
rnacentral:rRNA from 1 species